rnacentral:rRNA from 1 species
UACGAAGGGGGCGAGCGUUGUUCGGAAUUACUGGGCGUAAAGGGCGCGUAGGCGGUAUGUCAAGUCAGGCGUGAAAGCCCCGGGCUCAACCUGGGAACCGCGCUUGAGACUGGCACACUCGAGUUCGGGAGAGGAUGGUGGAAUUCCCAGUGUAGAAGGUGAAAUUCGUAGAUAUUGGGAAGAACACCGAUGGCGAAGGCAGCCAUCUGGACCGACACUGACGCUGAGGCGCGAAAGCGUGGGGAGCAAACAGGG